rnacentral:rRNA from 1 species
UGCCAGCAGCCGCGGUAAUACGUAGGGUGCGAGCGUUAAUCGGAAUUACUGGGCGUAAAGCGUGCGCAGGCGGUUUUGUAAGCCAGAUGUGAAAUCCCCGGGCUUAACCUGGGAAUGGCAUUUGGGACUGCAAGGCUCGAGUGCGGCAGAGGAGACUGGAAUUCCUGGUGUAGCAGUGAAAUGCGUAGAUAUCAGGAGGAAUACCGAUGGCGAAGGCAGGUCUCUGGGCUGACACUGACGCUCAUGCACGAAAGCGUGGGGAGCAAACGGGAUUAGAUACCCUGGUAGUCCACG